GAUUGUCAAAAGAAAUAAAAAUAAAUCCCGUCUUAGUGAUAAUUUGUUUUUCAUUGAAGCUGAUGGGGUAAAUAUUAUCCAGGAAUGAUAACAAGUCGCCAAAGAUAAGUUCUGCACUAAAGUAUUAAUGGCCAAACUACCGAAUGGCUGGCUUCAGCUGGUACCUUUCUGAAGGCUUCCAAGUUAUAAUCGAGAAGUCAAAGGAAGCAAAAUGCUCUUUACAAGAUGUACAGUUGCGUUUCUUGUGCCCUGAUGAUCUAGAAGAAGUGAGGAGUUUGUGCAGAGAAUGGUUCCCUAUAGAGUACCCUCAGUCAUGGUACGAAGACAUCACUUCAUCAGAGAGAUUCUUUGCUCUGGCAGCAGUAUACAAAUCACAGAUCAUUGGUCUCAUAGUAGCAGAAAUUAAGCCAUAUUUGAAACUUAAUGCCGAAGACAGAGGAAUAUUAUCAAGAUGGUUUGCCUCUAAGGACACACUUGUUGCUUAUAUAUUAUCUUUAGGGGUGGUCCGCUCGUACCGGCGCUCAGGAGUGGCCACACUUCUGCUGGAUGUGUUGCUGAGCCACCUGGCGGGCGCUGCGCCACAACCGCCGCACGACCACCGCGUUAAGGCCAUCUUCUUGCAUGUGCUCACCACCAACACUGAGGCUAUACACUUCUAUGAACAAAAAAGAUUCUGUCUGCACUCGUUCCUUCCCUACUACUACUCGAUCCAGGGCCGCAACAAGGACGGCUUCACGUACGUGUACUACGUGAACGGCGGGCACGCGCCGUGGGGCAUCUACGACUACGUGAAGUGCGUGGCGCGCGCGGCGUGGCGCGGCGGCGGGCUCUACCCCUGGCUGUGGGGCAAGCUGCAGGCCGCGCUCACUAUCGCGUGGCACAGGAAUGCCUACAGAUUUUAGUGGCGCGUCGCGUUCCCCGCAAUCCAGUGCGAGUUUUAGUUUGAGGACAAAAAGUCGUAUAUUUAAUAUUUAAAAGUAUUUAUGAAUGUAUUAUUAUUUUAUAUAUUUUGACAUAUAUUUACAUCAUGUUUGCAUAGAAAUCGACAAAGAUAUAUGUGAUAAAUUUUAGUUUACCACUGAGAUAGAUCAUUAUUUUCUUGUAUUUUUGUGAUAUUUGGCAUGCGUUUGUGCGAUUACCUACAGUCGUGUUGGCCGAUAAAUGUAAGAGACAAAACGACGAAGGCAUUGGAAUUUUUCUGAAACAUAAAGUUGUAUGUGUGCCAUGGAUAACUGCCAAGACAUUUAAAGUAAGGUGCCUGUGUGUUCAGUGUAGGAACUGUGAACAAACAUUUAGAGAUAUUCAAUCACAAUCAAGAACUACAUUAGUACGGUCUAUUAAGGGUAUUCAGCAAUAAAAUAUACUCAUUUUUACUAUUUACCUAACACGAUGAGAUAACAUUAAUGAUUUUAUUUUGAGUAUGCAACUGUAGGUACUUAGGUAAUAAUAUCUUUUGUUAACCUUUGUUUCCCACUGAAAAUGAACACCACCAACUCUUAAGGUCAAUAAUAAAUAAUUUGUAAAAAGUUAACUAUUGUACCGAAACCGCACUUAAAAAAAAAAUCCAUCCCUUUAUGUUGUGAUUACCAACUUGUGUAUUAAAUAUUAUUAAAACGCCAUGUUCACCAUAUAGCGGCAAACUCCUUGACAUACGAAUCAUAUACAAUGCAUUCUUUGUGACGAAACAAAGUAGAUAUGUAUAUACUCAGCUAAUCUAAGUUUAUUCUUUGCAUCCAUAUUAAAAAUAUAUAAAAUUAAUUUAAACAACUUUACUAAUUAAGUGGACAAAUUUUAUUAAAUUUUUUAACUACUUAAUACUUAAAGUAUGAUUUUCCACUGUUUCGUUUUAUGAUUAUGUGCUAUAGAUAGAACUCUAUGGAAUCACCCUAUCAGGCACUAAUAAUUAUUUGUGCACUUUCCCAGGGUAGGAUUAUUAUUGUUACUCAUUGUAAACCAAAGUAUUUUAAUUUACAUGAUUAUGUUACUAGCUGUCGAUGUUUUUUUCUAAUUAUUAUUGAUUAAAUUAUUGUUAAGUGUUUAUUAUGGAAACAAGUACCUAAGUACUAUUUGGACCACUACUCAUUUAGUUUGUAUUGAUUAGGACAAUUUUGUAUGUAUUUAUAAAAUGAUGUUACCUAUUACAUUAUGUAGUACAUACUAGGCCAAUGAGAAGAGUUGAAAACUUUUGUUUUGUUUGUAGCCAGCGUAGCCAGCUUUUCUAGCUUCCUUCACAUGCAUUAGAAAUAGAGUCUAGUAAAUAAAGAAGACUAGCUACCAUACAGAGCCGCGAGACUCGUCAAUUUUGUAGGUGACAUUACAUUGAAUAUUAUUUUCACCACACCAGCUGGUAAAGGCUCUCUUGAUUGUACAAAAACUGAUAAGAAAGUUGCAUUUUAUUCACAUGUGAGGCAAAGUAAUCAAAUGCAAAUUUUGAGUUGUUUUCUUAUGUUUGCUGUUAGAAUUUACUUUUAAAUUAUGAUUUUGAAUGAUAAAUAUUUAAUAACAUUCAUUUUAAAUCGACUUGCUUUGAUUUUGUUUGAUAUUUUACAUUUAGUAUUUUCCUUGUAGAGCGUCGGUUUUUUGUCUAGAAGUCUUCUAGAAAUCGAUUUUCGCUCAUGUCGUCUCGGACAUGGGUAUAUUUGGUAUCAGUGCAUUCAGUGUGAUGUUCUGAACACAAAUAUAUGCGACGACAAGCGCGAAAGUGGUGGGGAUAGUUGCUGUGACGUCAUAAAGUCGGCAGUACAAAGUUUUUUACUUUUUUCUUUUAAACAUACCAUGUGGGGUAUCAAAUGAAAGGGCUUUGUGAUUAGAUCACAUAUAUAUAACAUACUGUAACAUUUUGACUACUUGGUCAAACAAAUCAUUAGAAAACGUUCAAAAUUUUCACAAUCCACAGUUGACUCUGAACUGCUCUAAAUUGAAAAUGACUGAAUGGAUUAUUCCAAAUUUUACACCAAAUGACUGUGAUUACCCUCUAUAUAAUGUCUAAAAAUAAUUAACCAGAUAUAGUACCAGUUUUCAUUUGGUACCCUACCCAUAUUGCUAUAGUGUAAUUAGGUAAUUCAAUAAUGUAUUUCUUUUAUUAUAUACUUUGUCGUUUCAACUUGGCUCAUUGGCUUUUGCACAGCGAUUGAUACCACGUUCGACGUGGUUUUGACAAUCAAAAUGGUUGCAAACGUCGGAGAGUGGUAAACUAGAUGCGAAUCUUGUACAAUCGAGGACAUGCCCGGUAAACCACUUCAUAGAAAUUUUACCUCGAUCCUUACGAGCGAGCUAAACUCCGCCUCCCAUAGAAAUAACCAAUUACGAGGCAUUUAGGAUUAUUUAUCUCAAUAAUGAAAAGGGUAAAAGCAGGUAAUGUGACAAACAAUAGGUAGUAAGGACAGUUUAUUAGUUGUUGUUGUUUAGGCUAAGCUGCAUUUUGGAUUCCUUGUCUUAGUUUGCAAAUGCCGACCGUCACAGAGACAAUGAACGGCAAUAAACUUUACCUAAGCUAACAUUUUUUUCAGCACCCACAUUUUUAAGUGCCAUGAUGGAUAGAUAGAUUUUUGAUUCUUUUCAUGCUAUUGGUUAUCACUUUUAUGAUAUCGCCUGACCGUAUGUAAGACGUUUAAACGAUUUGUGCCCUUAUGGUGGUUCACCGGGAAUGUCCUCGAUUGUACCUUCUCUCCUGCUUCGUUAUUAACGCAUUUGUUGCCAGUAUUUUUUUUUUUCGAACUUUUGCCAGGUACCGGACUCCGCUCAGUGCCUCAAACGCAUUAAUUAUAUAUAAGGUAUAAGAACUCAUAGACCCUCAGUAGCGUCAAGGGCACUGGGCGAAGUUCUUCAAAUUUAUGAUUUUGUAUAUGCGUUCAAGGCACUGAAUGUGUUAAAUUAUUUUGAUGUAAAGUGAAACAAAUGCCGAGGCUUGUAAUUUGUUAUUUUCACCCUGACACUACUUCACAGUCGCACAUAAUGUUAUACUUAAUAAAUUUUAUGAUUGAAACUAUUUGUACCCUUACUAUGGAGAACAUAGCUUACAAAUAAAUAUCAUUGUUGACUACAAA